rnacentral:lncRNA from 1 species
GAGGAGGUGAUCUUGAAGGAGGAGGUAAUGGUGCUUCACUUGCUUCUCUUCUCCUUCUUCUUCUGCGGCUUUCUUCACUUCUGCUUGCUCUUUGGCAUUGGAAAGAUACAUCUUCGAAGCAAUCAGUAGUAAGAAGGUUGAAGGUUAGUAAGGAGGUUGAAGGUUGGCUGAAAAAGAGAUGGAAAGGAGAUUUUGGCUAGAGAUUCUGAG